rnacentral:rRNA from 1 species
GAUGAACGCUGGCGGCGUGCCUAACACAUGCCAGUCGAGCGAUUCUCUUCGGAGAAGAGCGGCGGACGGGUGAGUAACGCGUGGGUAACCUGCCCUGUACACACGGAUAACAUACCGAAAGGUAUGCUAAUACGAGAUAAUAUGCUUUUAUCGCAUGGUAGAAGUAUCAAAGCUUUUGCGGUACAGGAUGGACCCGCGUCUGAUUAGCUAGUUGGUAAGGUAACGGCUUACCAAGGCGACGAUCAGUAGCCGACCUGAGAGGGUGAUCGGCCACAUUGGAACUGAGACACGGUCCAAACUCCUACGGGAGGCAGCAGUGGGGAAUAUUGCACAAUGGGCGAAAGCCUGAUGCAGCAACGCCGCGUGAGCGAUGAAGGCCUUCGGGUCGUAAAGUUCUGUCCUCAAGGAAGAUAAUGACGGUACUUGAGGAGGAAGCCCCGGCUAACUACGUG